rnacentral:RNase_P_RNA from 1 species
CGAGCUGGCCGGGCGGCCGCGUCGGCACCCCCGGGUGCCGCCGAGGAAAGUCCGGACUCCACAGGGCAGGGUGGUGGGUAACACCCACCCGGGGUGACCCGCGGGACAGUGCCACAGAAAGCAGACCGCCUGCGCGCUCCGGCGCGCUGGUAAGGGUGAAACGGUGGUGUAAGAGACCACCAGCGCCCUGGGCGACCAGGGCGGCUAGGUAAACCCCACCCGGAGCAAGGUCAGACAGGGAACGUUCGAGGGCUGCCCGCCCGAGUUCCCGGGUAGACCGCACGAGACCGCCGGCAACGGCGGUCCUAGAUGGAUGGUCGCCGCUCCCGGUCCGCCGGGAGGCACAGGAUCCGGCUUAUAGGCCAGCUCGUCCU